GAUGAACGCUGGCGGCGUGCCUAAUACAUGCAAGUCGAGCGAACAGACGAGGAGCUUGCUCCUCUGACGUUAGCGGCGGACGGGUGAGUAACACGUGGAUAACCUACCUAUAAGACUGGGAUAACUUCGGGAAACCGGAGCUAAUACCGGAUAAUAUAUUGAACCGCAUGGUUCAAUAGUGAAAGACGGUUUUGCUGUCACUUAUAGAUGGAUCCGCGCCGCAUUAGCUAGUUGGUAAGGUAACGGCUUACCAAGGCGACGAUGCGUAGCCGACCUGAGAGGGUGAUCGGCCACACUGGAACUGAGACACGGUCCAGACUCCUACGGGAGGCAGCAGUAGGGAAUCUUCCGCAAUGGGCGAAAGCUUGACGGAGCAACGCCGCGUGAGUGAUGAAGGUCUUCGGAUCGUAAAACUCUGUUAUUAGGGAAGAACAAAUGUGUAAGUAACUAUGCACGUCUUGACGGUACCUAAUCAGAAAGCCACGGCUAAUUACGUG
rnacentral:rRNA from 1 species